rnacentral:rRNA from 1 species
UACAGAGGUCCCAAGGCGUUGUUCGGAUUCAUUGGGCGUAAAGGGUGCGUAGGCGGCGCGGUAAGUCGGGUGUGAAAUCUCGGAGCUUAACUCCGAAACUGCAUUCGAUACUGCCGUGCUUGAGGACUGGAGAGGAGACUGGAAUUUACGGUAGUAGCGGUGAAAUGCGUAGAUAUCGUAAGGAAGACCAGUGGCGAAGGCGGGUCUCUGGACAGUUCCUGACGCUGAGGCACGAAGGGCCAGGGAGCAAACGGG